UGAGGAAUUUUGCGCAAUGGGAGCAAUCCUGACGCAGCAACGCCGCGUGGGUGAUGAAGGCCUUCGGGUCGUAAAGCCCUGUCAGGUGGGAAGAAUGUCCCGGGACUGAACAGGUUUCGGGAGUGACGGUACCACCAGAGGAAGCACCGGCUAACUCCGUGCCAGCAGCCGCGGUAAUACGGAGGGUGCAAGCGUUAUUCGGAAUUACUGGGCGUAAAGCGCGUGUAGGCGGCCCUGCAAGUCUGAGGUGAAAGCCCCGGGCUUAACCCGGGAAGUGCAUUGGAAACGGAAGGUCUGGAGUACGGGAGAGGAGGGGGGAAUUCCCGGUGUAGAGGUGAAAUUCGUAGAGAUCGGGAGGAAUAUCAGUGGCGAAGGCGCCCAUCUGGACGGUAACUGAUGCUGAGACGCGAAAGCGUGGGGAGCAAACA
rnacentral:rRNA from 1 species